CAUGUUGAAACAGUGGUUCUCAGCUGAGCAAUGAAAGUUAAGCAAUGUUGAGCCUGGUCAGUACCUAGAUGGGUGACUGCUUAGGAAUACCUGGUGCUGCAAGC